rnacentral:misc_RNA from 1 species
GAUGAAGAACGCAGCGAAAUGCGAUAAGUAAUGUGAAUUGCAGAAUUCAGUGAAUCAUCGAAUCUUUGAACGCACAUUGCGCCCCUCGGUAUUCCGUGGGGCAUGCCUGUUCGAGCGUCAUUUACCCCUCAAGCACUGCUUGGUGUUGGGCGUCUGUCCCGCUUCGCGCGCGGACUCGCCCCAAAGGUAUUGGCAGCGGUCGUGCCAGCUUCUCGCGCAGCACAUUGCGCUUCUCGAGGCGGUCGAUCGGCGUCCACGAAGCUCACCUCCACCGUUUGACCUCGGAUCAGGUAGGGAUACCCGCUGAACUUAAGCAUAUCAAUAAGCGGAGGA